rnacentral:rRNA from 1 species
AGCUCCAAUAGCGUAUAUUAAAGUUGCUGCAGUUAAAAAGCUCGUAGUUGCAUUUCCGAGGCAAGGGAUUAGUCCGACCUUUGGUGGGUAUUUAAUCCUCUUGCCUCGUCCUUGAGUGGUGCUUCUUGGUAUUAAGUUAUCGAGGAGAUAGCCGCUCAUCGUUUACUGUGAGAAAAUUAGAGUGUUCAAAGCAGGCUUAUGCCGUUGAAUAUAUUAGCAUGGAAUAAUAAGAUAGGACCUCGGUACUAUUUUGUUGGUUUGAGAACCAAGGUAAUGAUGAAUAGGGACAGUUGGGAGUAUUCGUAUUCAGUUGUCAGAGGUGAAAUUCUUAGAUUUACGAAAGACAAACUACUGCGAAAGCAUUUACCAAGGAUGUUUUCA